UUUUUUUUUUGGUUCUUAAGCAUGACAAUUGGGUGUUCACACCAUUGUGGGACAUGUACCUCCUGCAGACCUUGUUACAAUAUUGGCAAUUACCUAUGAAA